rnacentral:rRNA from 1 species
UACGUAGGGUGCGAGCGUUAAUCGGAAUUACUGGGCGUAAAGCGUGCGCAGGCGGCUCUUCAAGUCAGAUGUGAAAGCCCCGGGCUUAACCUGGGAAUGGCGUUUGAAACUGGAGGGCUGGAGUGUGGCAGAGGGAGGUGGAAUUCCACGUGUAGCAGCGAAAUGCGUAGAGAUGUGGAGGAACACCGAUGGCGAAGGCAGCCACCUGGACCAGCACUGACGCUGAUGCGCGAAAGCGUGGGGAGCAAACAGG